AAAAUGGAGAGUUUGAUCCUGGCUCAGGAUGAACGCUGGCGGUAUGCCUUACACAUGCAAGUUGAACGGAAGUUAAUCUUCAGUAGCAAACGGGUGAGUAACACGUAAGAAUCUACCUUUAGGAGGGAAAUAACAGUUGGAAACGACUGCUAAUAUCCCAUAUGCUGUAAAGUGAAAUAAUUUUUUGCCUGAAGAUGAGCUUGCGCCUGAUUAGCUAGUUGGUAAGGUAAUGGCUUACCAAGGCUACGAUCAGUAGCUGGUUUGAGAGGACGAUCAGCCACACUGGAACUGAGACACGGUCCAGACUUCUACGGAAGGCAGCAGUGGGGAAUUUUCCGCAAUGGGCGAAAG
rnacentral:rRNA from 1 species